UACGGGGGGGGCAAGCGUUGUUCGGAAUUACUGGGCGUAAAGGGCUCGUAGGCGGCCAACUAAGUCAGACGUGAAAUCCCUCGGCUUAACCGGGGAACUGCGUCUGAUACUGGAUGGCUUGAGUUCGGGAGAGGGAUGCGGAAUUCCAGGUGUAGCGGUGAAAUGCGUAGAUAUCUGGAGGAACACCGGUGGCGAAGGCGGCUCACUGGACCGGAACUGACGCUGAGGCGCGAAAGCGUGGGGAGCAAACAGG
rnacentral:rRNA from 1 species